GUGAGGAAUAUUGCGCAAUGGAGGCAACUCUGACGCAGCCAUGCCGCGUGCAGGAAGAAGGCGCUACGCGUUGUAAACUGCUUUUAACCGGGAAGAAACCCCAGGACGUGUCCUGGGUUGACGGUACCGGAGGAAUAAGCACCGGCUAACUUCGUGCCAGCAGCCGCGGUAAUACGAAGGGUGCAAGCGUUAUCCGGAUUCAUUGGGUUUAAAGGGUGCGUAGGCGGAGCGUUAAGUCAGUGGUGAAAUCCUGCAGCUUAACUGUAGACUUGCCAUUGAUACUGGCGCUCUUGAGUGCGCUUGAAGUGGGCGGAAUGUGCCGUGUAGCGGUGAAAUGCUUAGAUAUGGCACAGAACACCAAUUGCGAAGGCAGCUCACUAAGGCGAUACUGACGCUGAGGCAUGAAAGCGUGGGGAUCGAACAGGAUUAGAAACCCUAGUAGCC
rnacentral:rRNA from 1 species